AGCGAACGCUGGCGGCAGGCCUAAAAAAGCCAGGUGGACGAAACCCUCGGGGGUUGUGGCCGGCGGGGGAGUAACACGGUGGAACGUGCCUUUUGGGUCGGAAUAAACUAGGGGAACCUGUUCUAAUAACGAAUGUGCCCCUUGGGGGAAAGAUUUUAUGCCAUUAGAGCGGCCCGCGUCUGAUUAGCUAGUUGGUGAGGUAACGGCUCACCAAGGCGACGAUCAGUAGCUGGUCUGAGAGGAUGACCAGCCACACUGGGACUGAGACACGGCCCAGACUCCUACGGGAGGCAGCAGUGGGGAAUCUUGCGCAAUGGGCGAAAGCCUGACGCAGCCAUGCCGCGUGAAUGAUGAAGGUCUUAGGAUUGUAAAAUUCUUUCACCGGGGACGAUAAUGACGGUACCCGGAGAAGAAGCCCCGGCUAACUUCGUG
rnacentral:rRNA from 1 species